GCUGGCGUUCUCCAGUCGACAGGGUUACUUUGAGGAAAUCAGAGUGCUCAAGGCAAGCGCACGCUCGUGACUUCACUAGCAUGGAAUAACACAGAUGGGCUCUUUUUCGCAACGUUGGUCUGCGUCAAUCGAGCAACGAUCGAUAGAGACGGUCGGGGGCAUUCGUAUUGCGCAGUUAGAGGUGAAAUUCUCCGAUCUGCGCAAGACGCACUAAUGCGAAAGCAGUUGCCAAGGACGUCCUCUUAUGAUCAAGAGCGAAAGUCGGGGGAUCAAAGAUGAUUAGAUACCGUCGUAGUCCCGACCAUAAAUGAUGCCGACUGAGCGUCGGCGACUCGGCCUUCGGCCGUACGUCGGCGCUCUUGAGAGAAAUUAAAGUCUUUGGGCUCCGGGGGUAGUAUGGUCGCAAGUCUGAAACUUGAAGGAAUUGACGGAAGGGCACCACAAGGCGUGGAUGUUGCGGCUUAAUUUGACUCAACACGGGGAAGCUUACUAGGUUUGGACACUUGAAUGAGGGACAUAUUGAAGCUCUUACCUUUUUUUGUGGAUGGUGGUGCAUGGUCGUUCUCAGCCCGUGGGUUGACCUGUCAGGUUUACUCCGGUAACGCGCGAGACCUCGGUUUGCUAAAUAGACGCGGCUGUCUCGGCACCCGCGUUCUUCUUAGAGAGAGUCUCGACGAGAGUCGAGGGAAGUCGAGGCAAUAACAGAUCUGUGAUGCCCUUAGUUAUCCUAGGUCGCACGCGCCAAACAAUGUCGCUUACAACGAGUUCCUAGGCCGACAGGCGUUCUCCUUCGAGCGCGGUCGUGGCAGACCCCGAGGGCCAGUCGCUCCGAGAGAGCGGCCGUCCGAGGGCGUCCACGCGCCUCCGCGCCGAUCGAGAUCGACCGGGCAAUCUUGCAGAGAGCUACGUGACUGGGCUAGACUCUUGUAAUUGUUGGUCUUCAACGAAGAAUGCCUAGUAAUCGCAGGUCAUCAUCCUGC
rnacentral:rRNA from 1 species